AACUAAGUUCAAAUUCAAAUUGACCGUCAAGUUGCUAAACUGAGCAAUCAAAGUAAAUCCUUUUGACCGCCAAGUCGUUAAACAGAGCGAACUGAAUUCAAAUUCAAAUCACCAUCAAGUCGUUAAACUGAACUCAACUCAAGCCGACCGCUAUGUCGUUAAACUUAGCUACUAAAUUCAAACUGACUGCCACGUCGUUAAACUAAGCUAUUAAAUCCAAACCGACUGCCACGUUGUUAAACUGAGCAAUUCAAAUCAAGCCGACCGCCAUGUCGAUAAAUUGAGCACCAAAACUCAAACAGAUCGCCAUGUCAUUAAACUGAGCAACUCAAUCUAAAGUUGACCGCCAUGUCAUUAAACUGAGCACCACAACUCAAACCGACAGCCAUGUCGCUAAACUGAGCAUCUCAACUUCAAUCGACCGCCAAGUCGCUAAAUUGAGUAAAUCAAAUUCAGAUAUGACCAUCAAGUCGUUAAACUGAAUAUUUGACCAUCAAGUCGUUAAACUGAGCAUCUGACAGCCAUGUCGGUAAACCGAACACCAAAACUCAAACCGACCGCCAUGCCAUUAAAUUGAGUACCAAAACUCAAAUCGACCCCCAUGUCAUUAAACUGAGUACCUCAAAUUCAAACCAACCGUCAUGUCAUUAAAUUGCGCACCUCAACAUCAAGCCGACCGCCAUAUCAUUAAACUGAGCAUCAAAACUCAAAUCGACCGUCAUAUCAUUAAACUGAGUACCUCAAACUCAAACCGGCCGCCAUAAACUGAGAACAAAAGUCAAACCGACCGCCAUGUCAUUAAACUGAGCAACUCAAUCUAAAGCCGACCGCCAUGUCAUUAAACUGAGCACUACAACUCAAACCGACCGCCAUGUCACUAAACUGGACAUCUCAACUUCAAUUAACCGCCAAGUCGCUAAACUGAGCAAAUUAAGUUCAGAUAUGAUCGUUAAGUCGUUAAACUAAACAAAUGACUGUUAAGUUAUUAAACUGAACAUUUGAUCGCCAAGUCGUUAAAUCGAGCAAACCAAGUUCAACUUCAAAAUGACCGUCAAGUCGUUAAACUGAACGAAUGACCGCCAUAUCGUUAAAUUGAGCAAUCAAAUUAAACCCUUUUGACUGCCAUGUAGUUAAACUGAGCAAUCAUAUUAAACUCUUUUUAAUUGCCAUGUCGUUAAACUGAACAAUCAUAUUAAACUCCUUUAACCGCCAAGUUGCUAAACUGAGCAAACCAUAUCAAACUCAUUUUGACCGCUAUAUUGUUAAACUGAGCAAAUUAAAAUUAAACUCAACCUCAACCAGUUUCAAACGACCGCUAUGUCAUUAAAUUGAGCAAUCUGAUCCUAAUCGACCAUCAAGUUUAUAAACUGAAUAUUUAGUUUUAUAAAAUCUGUGUACAGUGAAAAAAUGUUCCUGCUUAAGCCAUUACACGGCAAAUCAUAUUGAUAAAAUUUUAUUUAUCCGUUUGGUCUCUUUUAUUAUUAGCAUUUACGUUCGAUCUCUUAAUCGAGGGUUACUUAACACUGAAAGUGUGGGAUAAUUAACAAGAGAUUUUUGAGUAUAUUAGAAGCCAUGAAUAUAUAAUCUUGAUUUCAAAAUAAAAUUUAAACAAAUUGAAUCUGUAUCAUGAAUGACCACUCAUCUUAGAAAUACCUACGGCGGAGCCGGUUCGUUCGCGGUAGACAAAUUUUAUAAUCUUAUAGAUACACUUUACAUCAUAUAAAAUGUCUACGCAUAAUU
rnacentral:lncRNA from 1 species